GACGAACGCUGGCGGCGUGCCUAAUACAUGCAAGUCGAACGCUUCUUUCCUCCCUAGUGCUUGCACUCAAUUGGAAAGAGGAGUGGCGGACGGGUGAGUAACACGUGGGUAACCUACCCAUCAGAGGGGGAUGACACUUGGAAACAGGUGCUAAUACCGCAUAACAGUUUAUGCCGCAUGGCAUAAGAGUGAAAGGCGCUUUCGGGUGUCGCUGAUGGAUGGACCCGCGGUGCAUUAGCUAGUUGGUGAGGUAACGGCUCACCAAGGCCACGAUGCAUAGCCGACCUGAGAGGGUGAUCGGCCACACUGGGACUGAGACACGGCCCAGACUCCUACGGGAGGCAGCAGUAGGGAAUAUUCGGCAAUGGACGAAAGUCUGACCGAGCAACGCCGCGUGAGUGAAGAAGGUGUUCGGAUCGUAAAACUCUGUUGUUAGAGAAGAACAAGGACGUUAGUAACUGAACGUCCCCUGACGGUAUCUAACCAGAAAGCCACGGCUAACUACGUG
rnacentral:rRNA from 1 species